rnacentral:rRNA from 1 species
GACGAACGCUGGCGGCGUGCUUAACACAUGCAAGUCGAACGGAAAGGCCCUGCUUUUGUGGGGUGCUCGAGUGGCGAACGGGUGUGUAUCACGUGAGUAACCUGCCCUUGACUUUGGGAUAACUUCAGGAAACUGGGGCUAAUACAGGAUAUGAGAUCCUGCUGCAUGGUUGGGGUUGGAAAGUUUCGGCGGUUGGUGAUGGACUCGCGGCUUAGCAGUUUGUUGGUGGGGUAGUGGCUUAACAAGGCUUUGACGGGUAGCCGGCCUGAGAGGGUGACCGGCCACAUUGGGACUGAGAUACGGCCCAGACGCCUACGGGAGGAAGCAGUGGGGAAUAUUGCACAAUGGGCGGAAGCCUGAUGCAGCGACGCCGCGUGCGGGAUGACGGCCUGCGGGGUGUAAACCGCUUUCGCCUGGGACGAAGCGUGAGUGACGGUAAUGGGUAAAGAAGCACCGGCUAACUACGUG